GAAGUUGCCCAAUGAAGACAACUGACUCUGUCCUUUCUGGUCUGUGUGUUGGUGCUGAUUUUUGGGCUUCCUCUCCCAUUAUAACACUUCUGACCGACAAAGCACAUGCACAAUUUUGUGAAAAUUGGUUCAGCUGCAGGAUUAACAAACAGACAUCCAAGAAUGGAAGAUUGACAGCCAUUCCACCACUGAUGUCACUUCUGUUGCCCACCUUCUUGGAUCCGCCCAUUCCUGCCUAGCUCCCAUAUGACUGGGGUCACAAACGUAUACUACAUGAAGUGGCAUACGACCAGGGAUCUUGCCCCACCAGGAUGCCUGGAAGAAGGUUGGACCAUGAGUGAGGC